rnacentral:rRNA from 1 species
UACGUAGGGGGCAAGCGUUGUCCGGAUUUAUUGGGCGUAAAGAGCGUGUAGGCGGUUGGGUAGGUCCGUUGUGAAAACUCGAGGCUCAACCUCGAGACGCCGAUGGAAACCCCCCAGCUAGAGUCCGGAAGAGGAGAGUGGAAUUCCUGGUGUAGCGGUGAAAUGCGCAGAUAUCAGGAGGAACACCGGUGGCGAAGGCGGGUCUCUGGGAAGUAACUGACGCUGAGAAGCGAAAGCAUGGGUAGCAAACAGG